GAUGAACGCUGGCGGCGUGCUUAACACAUGCAAGUCGAACGAUGAAAGCGGGAGCUUGCUCCUGCUGGAUUAGUGGCGAACGGGUGAGUAACACGUGAGUAACCUGCCCUUGACUCUGGGAUAAGCGUUGGAAACGACGUCUAAUACCGGAUACGACCUUCGGAGGCAUCUCCUGGGGUGGAAAGAAUUUCGGUCAAGGAUGGACUCGCGGCCUAUCAGCUAGUUGGUGAGGUAAUGGCUCACCAAGGCGACGACGGGUAGCCGGCCUGAGAGGGUGACCGGCCACACUGGGACUGAGACACGGCCCAGACUCCUACGGGAGGCAGCAGUGGGGAAUAUUGCACAAUGGGCGCAAGCCUGAUGCAGCAACGCCGCGUGAGGGACGACGGCCUCGGUUGUAACUCUUUAGUAGGUAAGAAGACGAAGUAGACGGUACC
rnacentral:rRNA from 1 species